rnacentral:lncRNA from 1 species
GGACUACAGGUGCAUGCCACCAUGCCCAGCUAAUUUUUGUGUUUUUAGUAGAGACAGGGUUUCACCAUGUUGGCCAAGAUGGUCUCGAUCUCUUGACCUCGUGAUCUGCCUGCCUCAGCCUCCCAAAAUGCUGGGAUUACAGGCGUAAGCCACUGCGCCCAGCCCAUGUCUAGUUUUAAAUCAUUGGAUUUUAUAGAUCUGCCAUCUUUUAAGUGGAGCACACUCUAAAAUUCUGAUUGACCAUGUCCUCUGUCCUGUCUGAUGCCACUGUUUCUAGGGGCUCACACUUCUCAUACAAAGUAAGGCACCUUCUUCCCUAACCCCUAGUGUGGCAUUUGCACCAUGUGAAAUGCUCAGGACUAUGUCAUAGAUGAAGCCCCACUGCUUUUGAUUAAUUUAAAGUCACAAAAGUUUUUUUUUUUUUAAUAGGAAAAUCAAUUUUCAAAUACUCAGAUCCUUGAAUAAGAAGAGUGUUGGGAAGUAAUGAAAAAUAUCAAGCCUUGGCUGACCAGAACCAAAUUGAAGUCAAGAUUCUGCUACCUGCCUUGUGCUGUUCAGUAGCCACUUCCUCGCUCCAUGGCCUAACGUGUGGUCUUGAGAGAUUUUCCUGUCUACAAAGUAACCUCAACAUAAUCUCAGAAAAAGAAUCCUCUCUGAAGGAAGUGGGACAUGUCCCUAGGGAGACUGUCAAUGCAGAGCCAACGCUUGUUCCCAACUUCUGUGGUUUCUCUUCUGUCAAGUAAAUACGGUCUCAUGAGUCUCCAGAUCAUAGCAACUGCAACCAUUUUUCUGUGGAAAGGGCUCUGCGAAGUUCCUAAGCAUGGUCUUCUUUAA